CCCUGUGGCUCAGUUGGUAGAGUAUGGUGUUUGCAACGCCAGCAUGGUGUGUGCAACGCCAGGGUUGUGGGUUCGAUUCUCACUGGGG
rnacentral:tRNA from 1 species